AUUGAACGCUGGCGGCAUGCUUUACACAUGCAAGUCGGACGGCAGCACAGAGAAGCUUGCUUCUUGGGUGGCGAGUGGCGAACGGGUGAGUAACAUAUCGGAACGUACCGAGCAGUGGGGGAUAACUAAUCGAAAGAUUAGCUAAUACCGCAUAUCUUCUGAGGAAGAAAGCAGGGGACCAUUUGGCCUUGCGCUGUUUGAGCGGCCGAUAUCUGAUUAGCUAGUUGGUGGGGUAAAGGCCUACCAAGGCGACGAUCAGUAGCGGGUCUGAGAGGAUGAUCCGCCACACUGGGACUGAGACACGGCCCAGACUCCUACGGGAGGCAGCAGUGGGGAAUUUUGGACAAUGGGCGCAAGCCUGAUCCAGCCAUGCCGCGUGUCUGAAGAAGGCCUUCGGGCUGUAAAGGACUUUUGUCAGGGAAGAAAAGGGCGGGGUUAAUACCCCUGUCUGAUGACGGUACCUGAAGAAUAAGCACCGGCUAACUACGUG
rnacentral:rRNA from 1 species